CAGGCUUAACACAUGCAAGUCGAGGGGCAGCAUGGUCUUAGCUUGCUAAGGCCGAUGGCGACCGGCGCACGGGUGAGUAACACGUAUCCAACCUGCCGUCUACUCUUGGACAGCCUUCUGAAAGGAAGAUUAAUACAAGAUGGCAUCAUGAGUCCGCAUGUUCACAUGAUUAAAGGUAUUCCGGUAGACGAUGGGGAUGCGUUCCAUUAGAUAGUAGGCGGGGUAACGGCCCACCUAGUCUUCGAUGGAUAGGGGUUCUGAGAGGAAGGUCCCCCACAUUGGAACUGAGACACGGUCCAAACUCCUACGGGAGGCAGCAGUGAGGAAUAUUGGUCAAUGGGCGCAGGCCUGAACCAGCCAAGUAGCGUGAAGGAUGACUGCCCUAUGGGUUGUAAACUUCUUUUAUAAAGGAAUAAAGUCGGGUAUGGAUACCCGUUUGCAUGUACUUUAUGAAUAAGGAUCGGCUAGCUCCGUGCCAGCAGCCGCGGUAAUACGGAGGAUCCGAGCGUUAUCCGGAUUUAUUGGGUUUAAAGGGAGCGUAGAUGGAUGUUUAAGUCAGUUGUGAAAGUUUGCGGCUCAACCGUAAAAUUGCAGUUGAUACUGGAUAUCUUGAGUGCAGUUGAGGCAGGCGGAAUUCGUGGUGUAGCGGUGAAAUGCUUAGAUAUCACGAAGAACUCCGAUUGCGAAGGCAGCCUGCUAAGCUGCAACUGACAUUGAGGCUCGAAAGUGUGGGUAUCAAACAGGAUUAGAUACCCUGGUAGUCCACACGGUAAACGAUGAAUACUCGCUGUUUGCGAUAUACGGCAAGCGGCCAAGCGAAAGCGUUAAGUAUUCCACCUGGGGAGUACGCCGGCAACGGUGAAACUCAAAGGAAUUGACGGGGGCCCGCACAAGCGGAGGAACAUGUGGUUUAAUUCGAUGAUACGCGAGGAACCUUACCCGGGCUUAAAUUGCAGAUGAAUUACGGUGAAAGCCGUAAGCCGCAAGGCAUCUGUGAAGGUGCUGCAUGGUUGUCGUCAGCUCGUGCCGUGAGGUGUCGGCUUAAGUGCCAUAACGAGCGCAACCCUUGUUGUCAGUUACUAACAGGUUCUGCUGAGGACUCUGACAAGACUGCCAUCGUAAGAUGUGAGGAAGGUGGGGAUGACGUCAAAUCAGCACGGCCCUUACGUCCGGGGCUACACACGUGUUACAAUGGGGGGUACAGAGGGCCGCUACCACGCGAGUGGAUGCCAAUCCCAAAAACCUCUCUCAGUUCGGACUGGAGUCUGCAACCCGACUCCACGAAGCUGGAUUCGCUAGUAAUCGCGCAUCAGCCACGGCGCGGUGAAUACGUUCCCGGGCCUUGUACACACCGCCCGUCAAGCCAUGGGAGCCGGGGGUACCUGAAGUGCGUAACCGCGAGGAGCGCCCUAGGGUAAAACUGGUGACUGGGGCUAAGU
rnacentral:rRNA from 1 species